AAAGUCAGGGGCCCAGCCAGGCCUGGCUGAAGGAUCCAGGUGGCAUCUGGGGAUACCGCCCCACCAGGGCUCCACGUUCUCUUCUGAGCUCUCCAGCUAUUGCCAGAUUUAGUUCCAUCUCAGGAAGCUGCGCCAGCCGUCUGCAAGGCCCGCAAAGACUCCUGAAUACUUCUGGUGCUUCGGCUCACCCCGCCUUCCUUGUCGCUGUUAAGGAUUCCAGGGACCCACCCAGCUAAUCCAGGAUACUCUUCCCAUGCGAAGCUGUUUAAUGCAGGUCUGGGCAUUCAGGUGUCUCUGGGAGUCCCCAGGGGAUGACAGGUGUGUUUCGUGGUAUCACCUGUUCCUGUCUUCUUGAUGGGAUGGCCAGGGUGCCAUUAUCACAGCCACUCCUGGGCAUCAUCGCUUCUGCCCGACACCUCAGCUGACCCUCGGGAGCCAUCAGAUGGUCAAGACUUCAUGGGGUCCUUUAGAGAAAUGGCAAAGAAAGUCCUCCUGCAACCCUUCUGUCUCCAUCCUGGGACAUUGGCUUACGUUGCUAGAGUGACAGAUUCCACACUGAACUCGAAAUCAUGCAUUCCAAAGGUAAGGCCUUAUUUUUCUGAGGGGUAAGUUUUCUCAC
rnacentral:lncRNA from 1 species